UUGUCGGCCCAUUUUCAGGCCUUAACCCUUAAGUACUAAGAUUUGGUUUGGGCCAGAUCGGCCCAGUUGUCAUCUGUUUUGUUCACAGCCAUUUCUAAUUUCUUCCCUCCAAUUGCCAAGUGAGCAUGAGAUGAUGGUGAUUGGUGAACUACUACUAUUUACGUAGCUUUGAGUUCUGGGUUCCUCCAAAGAUCUCUGCUUUUGCAUCAAUGGUUGUAGAGUUUUUCCCUUCGUGACCCUGAAUUUUAUGGCAAGGAAGUGAGAGAUUCUAACAGUUUAUUGCCAUAAACUGAUGCGCUGUGGAGAUGAUCAAGCGGGAAAGGACGAUGUUGUUUUCAGUUGGUUUGCAUCUUGCUGUGCUUCAAGUAGAUUGAUGAGAGGACAAGUUUGAUUGUUUGGUCCAGGGAUUUUUGUGUUUAGUUGGUUCAGAAUGUCUCAAGAGCUUUUCAGCUGCUUGGUUUUGUGGGCUGAUGAAGGAUUAUCUUGCCGCUUUGUCAUGGAUUAGCAUUCUCAAAAUCUCUUGAAGAAAAUGAGUUUCGGGUAGCUGUGAUGGACAGAGCCUUGUUCUGCUGGAUCAACUGAAUGCAUAUGGUUUUUUCAAGGUAUACCAGUGGAGGAGUUUCUUAAGCUAUACUAGAAUGGAAUUGUUAACUUGUCCCCACUUGUUUUCCUUGCAAGAAAACUCAUACCAAACUUAAUACAUUUAUGCUAUCUUCUUCUAGUUGAUUUUGAUGUUAUACAGAUUCUGCUUCGAGGUGUC